GACGAACGCUGGCGGCGUGCUUAACACAUGCAAGUCGAACGGAAAGGCCCUGCUUUUGUGGGGUGCUCGAGUGGCGAACGGGUGAGUAACACGUGAGUAACCUGCCCUUGGCUUUGGGAUAACUUCAGGAAACUGGGGCUAAUACCGGAUAGGAGCUCCUGCUGCAUGGUGGGGGUUGGAAGGUUUCGGCGGUUGGGGAUGGACUCGCGGCUUAUCAGCUUGUUGGUGGGGUAGUGGCUUACCAAGGCUUUGACGGGUAGCCGGCCUGAGAGGGUGACCGGCCACAUUGGGACUGAGAUACGGCCCAGACUCCUACGGGAGGCAGCAGUGGGGAAUAUUGCACAAUGGGCGGAAGCCUGAUGCAGCAACGCCGCGUGCGGGAUGACGGCCUUCGGGUUGUAAACCGCUUUCGCCUGUGACGAAGCGUGAGUGACGGUAAUGGGUAAAGAAGCACCGGCUAACUACGUG
rnacentral:rRNA from 1 species